rnacentral:rRNA from 1 species
GACGAACGCUGGCGGCGUGCUUAACACAUGCAAGUCGAACGGAAAGGCCCUGCUUUUGUGGGGUGCUCGAGUGGCGAACGGGUGAGUAACACGUGAGUAACCUGCCCUUGACUUUGGGAUAACUUCAGGAAACUGGGGCUAAUACCGGAUAGGAGCUCCUGCUGCAUGGUGGGGGUUGGAAAGUUUCGGCGGUUGGGGAUGGACUGGCGGCUUAUCAGCUUGUUGGUGGGGUAGUGGCUUACCAAGGCUUUGACGGGUAGCCGGCCUGAGAGGGUGACCGGCGACAAUGGGACUGAGAGACGGCGCAGUCGCCUACGGGAGGCAGUGGGGGGAAGCAUUGCACAGUGGGCGGAAGCCUGAGGCAACAACGCCGGGUGCGUGAUGACGGCCUUCGGGGGAUAAACAGCUGUCGACUGAGACGAAGCGUGAGUGACGGUAAUGAGUAAAGAAGCACCGGCUAACUACGUG